rnacentral:rRNA from 1 species
AACGAACGCUGGCGGCAGGCCUAACACAUGCAAGUCGAACGCUGUAGCAAUACAGAGUGGCAGACGGGUGAGUAACGCGUGGGAACCUUCCCAGUGGUGCGGAAUAGCUCAGGGAAACUUGAGGUAAUACCGCAUAAGCCCCUAGGGGGAAAGAUUUAUCGCCAUUGGAUGGGCCCGCGUCGGAUUAGCUAGUUGGUGAGGUAAUGGCUCACCAAGGCAACGAUCCGUAGCGGUUUGAGAGAAUGACCAGCCACACUGGGACUGAGACACGGCCCAGACUCCUACGGGAGGCAGCAGUGGGGAAUCUUGGACAAUGGGCGCAAGCCUGAUCCAGCCAUGCCGCGUGAGUGACGAAGGCCUUAGGGUUGUAAAGCUCUUUUGCCGGGGACGAUAAUGACGGUACCCGGAGAAUAAGUCCCGGCUAACUUCGUGCCAGCAGCCGCCGUAAU